rnacentral:rRNA from 1 species
UACGAAGGGGGCUAGCGUUGCUCGGAAUUACUGGGCGUAAAGGGAGCGUAGGCGGAUAGUUCAGUCAGAGGUGAAAGCCCAGGGCUCAACCUUGGAACUGCCUUUGAUACUGGCUAUCUUGAGUUUGGGAGAGGUGUGUGGAACUCCGAGUGUAGAGGUGAAAUUCGUAGAUAUUCGGAAGAACACCAGUGGCGAAGGCGACACACUGGCCCGGUACUGACGCUGAGGUGCGAAAGCGUGGGGAGCAAACAGG